GCCUAUAGCGUCCGUAGCCGGCUUUGUAAGUUUUCGGUUAAAUCCAUAUGCUCAACAUAUGGGCCGCCGGGAAUACUGCAAAGCUAGGGAGUGGGAGAGGUAGACGGUACUCCGUAGGAAGGGGUAAAAUCCUUUGAUCUAUGGAUGACCACCUGUGGCGAAGGCGGUCUACCAGAACACGUCCGACGGUGAGGGAUGAAAGCUGGGGGAGCAAACCGGAUUAGAUACCCGGGUAGUCCCAGCUGUAAACUAUGCAAACUCAGUGAUGCAUUGGCUUGUGGCCAGUGCAGUGCCGCAGAGAAGUCGUUAAGUUUGCCGCCUGGGAAGUACGUACGCAAGUAUGAAACUUAAAGGAAUUGGCGGGGGAGCACCACAAGGGGUGAAGCCUGCGGUUCAAUUGGAGUCAACGCCAGAAAUCUUACCCGGAGAGACAGCAGGAUGAAGGUCAAGCUGAAGACUUUACCAGACAAGCUGAGAAGUGGUGCAUGGCCGUCGCCAGCUCGUGCCGUGAGGUGUCCUGUUAAGUCAGGUAACGAGCGAGAUCCUUGCCUCUAGUUGCCACCAUUACUCUCAGGAGUAGUGGGGCGAAUUAGCGGGACUGCCGUAGUUAAUACGGAGGAAGGAGAGGGCCACGGCAGGUCAGUAUGCCCCGAA
rnacentral:rRNA from 1 species